UGCUACAAUGGGCGGUACAAAGGGUCGCGAACCCGCGAGGGGGGAGCCAAUCCCAAAAAGCCGCUCUCAGUUCGGAUUGCAGGCUGCAACUCGCCUGCAUGAAGCCGGAAUCGCUAGUAAUCGCGGAUCAGCAUGCCGCGGUCCGAAUACGUUCCGGCCUU
rnacentral:rRNA from 1 species